rnacentral:rRNA from 1 species
ACGGGUGAGUAAUACAUCGGAACGUGCCCAAUCGUGGGGGAUAACGCAGCGAAAGCUGUGCUAAUACCGCAUACGAUCUACGGAUGAAAGCAGGGGAUCGCAAGACCUUGCGCGAAUGGAGCGGCCGAUGGCAGAUUAGGUAGUUGGUGAGGUAAAGGCUCACCAAGCCUUCGAUCUGUAGCUGGUCUGAGAGGACGACCAGCCACACUGGGACUGAGACACGGCCCAGACUCCUACGGGAGGCAGCAGUGGGGAAUUUUGGACAAUGGGCGAAAGCCUGAUCCAGCCAUGCCGCGUGCAGGAUGAAGGCCUUCGGGUUGUAAACUGCUUUUGUACGGAACGAAACGGCCUUUUCUAAUAAAGAGGGCUAAUGACGGUACCGUAAGAAUAAGCACCGGCUAACUACGUGCCAGCAGCCGCGGUAAUACGUAGGGUGCAAGCGUUAAUCGGAAUUACUGGGCGUAAAGCGUGCGCAGGCGGUUAUGUAAGACAGUUGUGAAAUCCCCGGGCUCAACCUGGGAACUGCAUCUGUGACUGCAUAGCUAGAGUACGGUAGAGGGGGAUGGAAUUCCGCGU